CACCACUUGGGGAUAACCUUGCGAAAGUAAGACUAAUACCCAAUGAUAUCUCUAGAAGAUAUCUGAAAGAGAUUAAAGAUUUAUCGGUGAUGGACGGGGAUGCGUCUGAUUAGCUUGUUGGCGGGGUAACGGCCCACCAAGGCAACGAUCAGUAGGGGUUCUGAGAGGAAGGUCCCCCACAUUGGAACUGAGACACGGUCCAAACUCCUACGGGAGGCAGCAGUGAGGAAUAUUGGUCAAUGGACGAGAGUCUGAACCAGCCAAGUAGCGUGCAGGAAGACGGCCCUAUGGGUUGUAAACUGCUUUUAUAAGGGAAUAAAGUUAGUCUCGUGAGACUUUUUGCAUGUACCUUAUGAAUAAGGACCGGCUAAUUCCGUGCCAGCAGCCGCGGUAAUACGGAAGGUCCGGGCGUUAUCCGGAUUUAUUGGGUUUAAAGGGAGCGUAGGCCGGAGAUUAAGCGUGUUGUGAAAUGUAGACGCUCAACGUCUGCACUGCAGCGCGAACUGGUUUCCUUGAGUACGCACAAAGUGGGCGGAAUUCGUGGUGUAGCGGUGAAAUGCUUAGAUAUCACGAAGAACUCCGAUUGCGAAGGCAGCUCACUGGAGCGCAACUGACGCUGAAGCUCGAAAGUGCGGGUAUCGAACAGGAUUAGAUACCCUGGUAGUCCGCACGGUAAACGAUGGAUGCCCGCUGUUGGUCUGAAUAGGUCAGCGGCCAAG
rnacentral:rRNA from 1 species